rnacentral:lncRNA from 1 species
UGUUUUGUGGAGUUGAGUACAUGUAGGAAGGUCUAGUUGAAUGAUUCGGAUUGCUAAAAUAUCCGGGAGUUGAUGCCCAAGGUGGAGGCGGAUAAGCAGAGUACUGUGGGAAUUGAGUCUGAGCACGUGGCGGUAAUUGUUGAGGCUGAGAAUGAAGUUCUAGCUGAGUUCUAGGUUGUUGGUUCAGUUCAGGUUGUAAAGGAGAUUGUGGAAGCUGUUGCGAGGUAUGCUGAGAUUGUAAUGAUGAUUCUUGGGGAUACUGUGGUUGAGGCCGAGGAUGAGGUUGCGAUUGAGGUUGAUGCAGAGACUGGGCCUGAGGUUGGGCCUGGGCCUGGAACUGGGCUUGGGUUGGGGUUUGAAAUUGGUGAUGAUAUUGAGGUUGGGACUGAGGUUGGGCUGCGGAUUGAAAUUGAGGACGAAACUGAGGUUGUGACUGAGAUUGAGGUUGGGGUUGGGGCUGAGCCUGAGCCCAAGGAGCUACAUAACUGUUAAAGCUCUGAUCUUGAUAUCCAAGAUAAGCUUGAGAUGCAUAUGGAUUCCCUUGCGUGGUUGAGGCAACAGGCUCCUGAUGCGUGCUAUGAUUGGCUGAAGCAGAAUUUUGU